rnacentral:rRNA from 1 species
GAUCAUGGCUCAGGAUGAACGCUAGCUACAGGCUUAACACAUGCAAGUCGAGGGGCAGCGGGUAUUGAAGCUUGCUUCAAUUGCCGGCGACCGGCGCACGGGUGAGUAACGCGUAUCCAACCUUCCGUACACUCAGGGGAUAGCCUUUCGAAAGAAAGAUUAAUACCUGAUGGUAUGAUGAGAUUGCAUGAUAGCAUCAUUAAAGAUUUAUCGGUGUACGAUGGG